rnacentral:rRNA from 1 species
UACGUAGGGUGCGAGCGUUAAUCGGAAUUACUGGGCGUAAAGCGUGCGUAGGCGGUUCGUUAAGUUCGUUGUGAAAGCCCCGGGCUCAACCUGGGAACUGCAAUGGAAACUGGCGGGCUUGAGUGCGGCAGAGGGGGGUGGAAUUCCGCGUGUAGCAGUGAAAUGCGUAGAGAUGCGGAGGAACACCGAUGGCGAAGGCAGCCCCCUGGGCCAACACUGACGCUCAGGCACGAAAGCGUGGGGAGCAAACAGG